AUUGAACGCUGGCGGCAUGCUUUACACAUGCCAGUCGAACGGCAGCGCGGGCUUCGGCCUGGCGGCGAGUGGCGAACGGGUGAGUAAUACAUCAGAACGUGCCCAGUAGUGGGGGAUAGCUCGGCGAAAGCCGGAUUAAUACCGCAUACGACCUGAGGGUGAAAGCGGGGGAUCUUCGGACCUCGCGCUAUUGGAGCGGCCGAUGGCAGAUUAGCUAGUUGGUGGGGUAAAGGCCUACCAAGGCGACGAUCUGUAGCUGGUCUGAGAGGACGACCAGCCACACUGGGACUGAGACACGGCCCAGACUCCUACGGGAGGCAGCAGUGGGGAAUUUUGGACAAUGGGCGAAAGCCUGAUCCAGCAAUGCCGCGUGUGUGAUGAAGGCCUUCGGGUUGUAAAGCACUUUUGGCGGGAACGAAAAGGACUGUGCCAAUACCACGGUUCGAUGACGGUACCCGCAGAAUAAGCACCGGCUAACUACGUG
rnacentral:rRNA from 1 species